AUACGUAGGUGGCGAGCGUUAUCCGGAAUUACUGGGUGUAAAGGGUGUGUAGGCGGGAAGGCAAGUCGGAUGUGAAAAUUAUGGGCUCAACCCAUAAAGUGCGACCGAAACUGUUUUUCUUGAGGAUCGGAGAGGUAAUGAGAAUUCCCGGUGUAGCGGUGAAAUGCGCAGAGAUCGGGAGGAAUACCGGUGGCGAAGGCGAAUUACUGGACGAUAACUGACGCUGAGACACGAAAGCGUGGGGAGCAAACAGGAUUAGAUACCCUGGUAGUCCACGCCCUAAACGAUGAAUACUAGGUGUUGGGAGACAAUAGUUUCUCGGUGCCGCAGCAAACGCAAUAAGUAUUCUACCUGGAGAGUACGUUCGCAAGAAUGAAACUCAAAUGAAUUGGCGGGG
rnacentral:rRNA from 1 species